ACUUUUCCCACACUCUUUAGUUUACAUUCCAUGUCGGUAGCUUUUGUUCGAUGCAACAUUUGCAGGUUUUAUCAGCAGUCUGUCUGGUCUAGGAGGGUAAUGUCUGCUUUACAUCACUGAAAUGUACUUGUAAAAAAAAAAAACAAAACACGCGAACUCAAAUUAUGUUUUUAAACUGAACUAUGCCUGUUAAUGUUUGAAGGUAUUUCAACUGGAAACAUGCUAGUUGAUAUAUAUAAUAUAUAUCUGCAUGUUUGGUACAAUCAACGACACUUAAGUUUCCUAAUCAGGGGCGGACUUAGCAUUAAGCAACACAGAGCGACCAAACAGCUCAUAAAAACGUGUUUUUUCCUUUGAUGUAAAUUACAUAUUACUGUUUUAGUCGUAAUUCGUGCGUUUAAAACUACAUCAAAAAAGGUCAUCUAUCAUGUUCCUUUCUCUUAACAUGCAACGACUCCUCGUUACUGCGCGUGCGCAAAUGAUUCAGGAAAACAGGCGCGAAACAAACUUGUUGCUAGUUUUUUUUUUUUAACUUGUUGGUGCUGUCUGGAGACAAAUAAAGCGUAACAAACAGCUUUUCUCAAAACUACCGAAAGUUUUUUUAUUUUUAUUUUUUUAAACUACCAAAGGUGUCAAGCUUUUUCACAGUCAAAACAAACGACGACAGCAGCAGCACAACUCCUGGGAGAUGAACCUGAGUGAUGCUUCACAAGCACAUGAAAACGAGCUUCCUGGUUGACGGUGAUUUGGGAGCAGUUCAUAUCUGAGAUGACAGAACACAACACUUCCGCUAAGGGAAUGAACUGGGACUGCGGGACGGGGGACAUCUGCAACGGGGACAGGUCACCUGAAACACAAACCAAGCGGAUUGUCAGAUCAAAAAGGCAGCUCCAGGACCAACCACGGAAUUCCAUCACUCCCGCAGAAGUGACCACAGGCCGCCUGCUGGGUGGAUCAGAUAUCCCCAACCCCCAACCCCAACAUCAUGAAGACUCUCCUGACACCGGAGGUACCCUUGGAAAAACAUCUUGAUGAAAGUAAGAAAGAACCAGCAAAAAAUGCCUUGACAUAUUUUAUCUUCUGGAAACAUGUUCCAUACGACGACCGAGGUAGAAUGGCGCUUGACUCACAGGGCAGACGGGGCCUUCUGGGACACAAAGUGUGGGAACCCAACGUACCAAAACCACUUUUCAAGUAGUAAAAAUACACCCUCCCAUCCGUGUACCAGGAAGAAAUAAAAUCAACAAUCCAAUUUACAGUAAUCCCCUGACACAGGUUCACAUUGGAAAUUUAAAAUUGAACCUUUUUAAAUGAAUGCACCUUUUUAACCUUUAAUGCAUUCACCUUUUUAAUGCACCACACAGCAUAGGACAACACACCACCGAUUAACUCAAGUUAAGUAGAUAGGGGCUGACUGGGGCUGUAGCCCACUCUCAACAGGCCCACUCCACACCCUGGCUUUUUAAUGCAUGACACUAUGUAGGGAGGGGAUAGAGGAACAGAUAAAAAAAAUUAAAUUAAUUAAUUAAAUAAAUAAUAAAAUGAUAAAGGCAGUGGAAGUGAAGUUGGAGUGACUUAUAGCGCCGCAUGUAAACAAGAGAUUGGAAUAUUCCUUUCCAUGUAUACCAAUGUUUUGGGAAAGGUCAUUCGGAAAGAGAAAAACUCCUCAUGUAAACGUAAUGGUAACGGCAGGGGUGUGGAGCCGGAGCCGGAGCCGGAGCCACUCGGAGCCACACGAUUUGCCCGGAGCCGGAGCCGGAGCCGGAGCCACUCUGACUUUGUGGCUCCUGUGGCUCCGACCUCCGAAACUCGAAUCAUUCCAUUCCGCCUUACGCAAGGACGGAUAACCACUUCAUGAACGCGUGCUGGUGCUGCAAUGUUCGCAAAAAAUGCGACACGUUGCAUUAUAAAGUCUUUCUCAGGGCUUCUCAUAACAAUGUGCUUACCAGUGAGCAUUCAAGGGGGUCGCUGGUCAGUGGUCACUGGUCAGGCACGUCUGUAAUUGGUUGCGUCCAAGGACGUCGCCAGGUAUUUUCGGUUGGAGGUGCAGGUCUCUGUGAAAGGGCCCAAAACACUUAAAAGGCCCAAAGUAACCGGCUACAAAAACCUAAAACUGAUCGGAAUUAGGCCACUAUUUUUGGGAAAGGGCCCAUUUAAUGAACAAAACAAAAAUGAAAAGCUUUUUUAACGUACAUUUAGCUCUCGGUUGGGGGUGCAGCUGCACCCCCUGCACCCCCUGUGGCGCCGUCCUUGGUUGCGUCGUCCGUCGUGGCGGCGGCGCGUCGUUCCCACGCUAGCCCCUCCCCAUUUCGGGGGAGAUGUGUCUCGCAUGUCAGUUCGCCUCGCAAACACCCUCUUCGGUGACGGAUGCAGUGCAUGAGAUGAAGAAUCUCGGACGACUGAAGGGAAAAGACGUCUGGAGCAUCAUCGGCAAGUACCCAGCGGCCGUUCAGACGACCAGCCUCGCCCUGGCCGCUCUACCCACGACACAAGUGUCAGUCGAACGGCUGUUCUCGGCCAUGAAACUUCUGCUAACGGACCUUAGAUCCCGGAUGAAGGAAGACAUCGUGGAGGCAAUGCUCCUCAUACGUUCCAAUGAGUAAAACGCGAGUGCUUGCAGUGAGAGAUGCAUGAUGUGAAAAGUUCUGAGUUGCUGUGAAAGCCAAUGACUCACUUUUACGUCUUUCCCAUGUUUUAGCGAUUUUGGGCAACAUGGUUCCAUUUUUCUGUAAAGAUGUGUUGGUUAAUACAAAAUACAUUCGAUGAGAAAAGAAAAGGCUGUUUUUGCUUGCUCAAAACCGUUAAAAUGCGCUAUAAGUUACUCUUUAACUUGGUGAAAAAUAGACCUAGCCGGAGCCGGAGCCGGAGCCACAAGGAGCCACACCAUUUUGCCCGGAGCCGGAGCCGGAGCCGGAGCCACAAAAAUUGAUGUGGCUC